rnacentral:lncRNA from 1 species
AGUAGGUUGAGGCUCUGGACUCUGCCUUAGUUUGUUCCUGCUGCUAUAAUAAAACGUCUUAGACUGGGCAAUUCAUGAAUGAUAGACACUUCUUUCUCACAGCUCUGGAGGCUGGGAAGUUCAAGAUCAAGGCACCAGCAGAGUCAGUGUCUGAAGAAACACAGAUUCUGAAAGGAAGAGAGAAAAAGGCAGACUAGCUAGAGAGCUUGGGGCCUGAGGAACACACAACAUGUAGCUGUCAUGAGGUGAACAGGUUUCAUCCACUAUGUGCCAUGAUGUACUGUCUUUCCACCAACUCAGAAGCAACAGAGCCAACUGACCAUGGACUGAAACCUCUGAAACUAUGAGCC